rnacentral:rRNA from 1 species
UGAGAAUCUGGCUUCAGGUUCGGGACAACAGUUGGAAACGGCUGCUAAUACCGGAUGUGCCUAAGGGUGAAAGAUUUAUCACCUGAAGAUGAGCUCGCGUCUGAUUAGCUAGUAGGUGUGGUAAGAGCGCACCUAGGCGACGAUCAGUAGCUGGUCUGAGAGGAUGAUCAGCCACACUGGGACUGAGACACGGCCCAGACUCCUACGGGAGGCAGCAGUGGGGAAUUUUCCGCAAUGGGCGAAAGCCUGACGGAGCAGUACCGCGUGAGGGAGGAAGGCUCUUGGGUUGUAAACCUCUUUUCUCAGGGAAGAAUGAUGACGGUACCUGAGGAAUAAGCAUCGGCUAACUCCGUGCCAGCAGCCGCGGUAAUACGGAGGAUGCAAGCGUUAUCCGGAAUGAUUGGGCGUAAAGCGUCCGCAGGUGGCAAUGUAAGUCUGCUGUCAAAGCGUCUGGCUCAACCAGAUAAAGGCAGUGGAAACUACAUAGCUAGAGUAAGGUAGGGGUAGAGGGAAUUCCUGGUGUAGCGGUGAAAUGCGUAGAGAUCAGGAAGAACACCGGUGGCGAAAGCGCUCUGCUGGACCUUAACUGACACUGAGGGACGAAAGCUAGGGGAGCGAAUGGGAUUAGAUACCCCAGUAGUCCUAGCCGUA